rnacentral:snoRNA from 1 species
AGGCCGUGAUGGGGACACUUGCGUAAUAGCUCCUUGAACCUUUCCCAAGUUUCAUAUAAGGAUUCCCCGUCCUCUUGUGUGUAUGUAUUAAUUUCAGCCAUUAAUUU